rnacentral:rRNA from 1 species
UACGUAGGGUGCAAGCGUUGUCCGGAAUUAUUGGGCGUAAAGAGCUCGUAGGCGGUUUGUCGCGUCUGCUGUGAAAACCCGAGGCUCAACCUCGGGCCUGCAGUUGGUACGGGCAGACUAGAGUGCGGUAGGGGAGAUUGGAAUUCCUGGUGUAGCGGUGGAAUGCGCAGAUAUCAGGAGGAACACCAAUGGCGAAGGCAGAUCUCUGGGCCGUAACUGACGCUGAGGAGCGAAAGCAUGGGGAGCGAACAGG